CUUCUCCUCUUGUUACUGUGUUACUGUGAACCACCUCCCUCAUCCUCCCAAAUCUUCAACCUCACAUUUCCUUUCUUUUUUUUUUUCAAAUCAGUAAACCCAAAAGCUUAUAAAGGUCUUCAAACUCAUUUUUAAACUUUGCAUGUCUCAAUUUGUAACUAAUGCUAAUGAGCUUCAACAACGAAUAACCCAAAAUUGAAGAACUUGGGUCAAGGUGACAAUUCAAGCGAAAGGGGAGCUCAGCAACCAAGUUAAUCAGAACAUCAUCUUCUUCCUUGUCACAAACACAGCUGGAUGAACAUGAGACAUGGAUAUUAGCAUCAGAAGAUCAGUUUCAAACUCCUGGACUUAGAAGUUGAUCUUUUGUUUUAUGAUGUAAUCAGACAAUCGCAGUUUGCUUUCAAGAUGUAAUAUUUUAUGAAUCUAUUAAACAUGUUGUAAACUAUAUUUCUGAAUGUAGUUUUCAGUUAUGAUGGUGAUUCUAAUUUA